CUCGUAGGCGGUUUGUCGCGUCGAAUGUGAAAACCCGGGGCUCAACCCCGGGCCUGCAUUCGAUACGGGCAGACUAGAGUUCGGUAGGGGAGUCUGGAAUUCCUGGUGUAGCGGUGAAAUGCGCAGAUAUCAGGAGGAACACCGGUGGCGAAGGCGGGACUCUGGGCCGAUACUGACGCUGAGGAGCGAAAGCGUGGGGAGCAAACAGGAUUAGAUACCCUGGUAGUCCACGCCGUAAACGUUGGGCGCUAGGUGUGGGGGUCCUUCCACGACCUCCGUGCCGCAGCUAACGCAUUAAGCGCCCCGCCUGGGGAGUACGGCCGCAAGGCUAAA
rnacentral:rRNA from 1 species